CUUCGCAACCUAAACUCUUUCAAAUAUGCUUUACCAGAAUCUCAUUUCCUCAGGGUUGAUAAACUAGAGGAUUUAAAUUCCUCACAUGGAAACAAUGGAAGGGGAAGAGCAGAUGACAAAGAGGUUGUUGAUUACGAGUUAUCGUUGUCACUCUCUUUGCCAUCCCAGAGAAGUAAUGGUUGUUCUUCAACAAGCGAGAUGAGCGAGGCAAUUUCAUACUCUAGGUCUAAUUUUAAAGAAUGCUUUGGUUCAUCUUCCAGGAGAUAUAAUAACAUUAAUUUAGAUCUAUCAAUUGCUCUUUGUGGUACCUAGUCAAUAUCACUGUAAAAAUAUUCUUAUCAAGUUUAUCUUCCUUUUUUUCAUUA